GGUCUGUGUUCACAAGAAGAAGGGGAGUACUUGUGGCACAUUAGAGGCUAACCAAUUUGUUUGAGCGUGGGCUUUCGUGAGCUACAGAUGAAUCCGAUGAAGUGAGCUGUAGCUCACGAAGGCUUGUGCUCGGAUGGAUUGGUUGGUCUCUGGGGUGCCACAAGUACUCCUUUUCUUUUUGCGAAUACAGACUAACACGGCUGUUACUCUGAAACC